CCCUUAGAUGUUCUGGGCCGCACGCGCGCUACACUGAUGCAUUCAACGAGCCUAUCCUUGACCGACAGGUCCGGGUAAUCUUUGAAUCUGCAUCGUGACGGGGAUAGAUUAUUGCAAUUAUUAAUCUUCAACGAGGAAUGCCUAGUAGGCGCAAGUCAUCAGCUUGCGUCGAUUACGUCCCUGCCCUUUGUACACACCGCCCGUCGCUCCUGCCAACUGAGAUGGGUCCUGAAUUGUUAGGAACGCCCGUCAAGGGGCCUACCCGGUCCCUAGUGCGGUGACGAGAAUAACUGUAAAUGGCAUAUCUUGUAGGGAGUAAAAGUCGUAACA
rnacentral:rRNA from 1 species